AAUGAACGUUGGCGGCGUGGAUCAGGCAUGCAAGUCGAACGAAUCCCGUGGGGGCAACUCUGCGGGGGAAGUGGCGAAAGGGGCAGUAAGGCGUGGGUAACCUACCCCGGACUCUGGGAUAGCCUUUCUAACGAAAGGGUAAUACCGGAUGUCGUAGCGUGGUGGCAUCAUCGUGCUACGAAAGUUUCGACGGUCCGGGAGGGGCUCACGUGGUAUUAGCUAGUUGGUGAGGUAACGGCUCACCAAGGCCAAGAUGCCUAGCAGGUGUGAGAGCACGACCUGCGUCACUGGCACUGGGACACUGGCCAGACUCCUACGGGAGGCUGCAGUCGAGAAUCUUCGGCAAUGGGCGAAAGCCUGACCGAGCGACGCCGCGUGUGCGAUGAAGGCCUUCGGGUUGUAAAGCACUGUCGUGGGGGAGAAAAGGGCAACCUUGAUCGACCCCAGGAGGAAGCUCGGGCUAAGUUCGUGCCAGCAGCCGCCGUAAUAC
rnacentral:rRNA from 1 species